GUGCUCGCUUCAGCAGCACAUAUACUACAACUGGAACAAUACAGAGAAGAUUAGCAUGGCCCCUAUGCAAUGAUUACACACAAAUUCAUGAAGCGUUCCAUAAAUGA
rnacentral:snRNA from 1 species